rnacentral:rRNA from 1 species
AUGGUAGUAGAUGAGCUUGAUGUUGUAAUGUCAGAAGAAACUCCUGGUAGUGCCGGUGCCUUGGAGGAGCAGUUGAAUAUCCAGGAUGCAGUUUCUGAAGCAAGCAAUGCUGGCUUGAUUGCAGAAUCAGAGGGUGUUGCUGCAGUGGUAGAAGAAUCUGAUGCAUCAGACUACUCCAAGGCAGUAGAUGAGCUUGAUGUUGGAGCAUCAGAAGCAGCUCCAGGUAGCAGCAAUGGCGAAGAGAUCAGUGAGGAUUUGGACACCCCAUCUCAACCUGCUGAGCAGCGUGAACAGGAUGUUGAGAGUGGUGAGCCCGAGAACAAUCACGGCAGUGGCAAGGAGGGCCAGGAGCCGUAUCUUGGUCUUGAGUCGGAUUCGAGCGUGUCGAUCGCCAGGCUACCUGGACAGAAUCUCAAAGCCUGCAGCAGCAGCAGGUGUUGCCAUUGUCGUGGUUAUUCUUUCAGCCGGCAUUGCUGCCCUCUCCAUGAGGAAGUGGCAAGAUCAGCUUAG